rnacentral:misc_RNA from 1 species
CGCACUGUUAUAAGGGUAGUGUUAUGGAUAGAGCUCAGUUUUGUAUUAAUACCGUAAAUAAGUCAAUAUUAUAAAGUGCUAACAAGGUAGUAUAUAUUUACUAGCUUACUUCAGUUAAUGGUAUUAAAUUAAUAGCAGGAGUAAUUUAAUCUUGAUUAAUAAGGUUAACAGUUAAGAUGAGUGAUAAGCGUCGAAAUGCUAGGAUUCAGGGAUCCUGGGCUGGUCGGAGUAGUCAAAAGUGUGAGAAAGGAUUAACUUCUGGAUAUACUGGGAAGAGUAUGUUUGAAUACAAAGAAGGUGAAAGUUCAGUAGGUGAUGAUCCAUUUCAAAAAGAGGAGACUAUUGAAAUCAAGGAUCCUGGAGAACAUUCAUUAGUUGGUGGAACGAGUGGAUCUUCUAGUGUAUAUUUUCAGCCAGAUUUUUUUACACCCGAAGAAGCUGAUAGAUAUUUUGAUAAGCUGAUUGAACAGAGAAGAAUUCCUUGGAAGCAAACAGAUAUUAAAAUCAUGGGAGAAAAAUACCCAACACCAAGGCUCGUGGCCUGGUAUGGUCCAUUUCCUUAUUCAUAUUCAGGUGUAACAUUGGAAGCAGAUCAGAAGUGGCCCGAUGAUCUGAAAGAAAUACAGCUAAAAGUUGAACAGCAUUUGAAUGAAAUUCAGAAAGAAAAAGUCAGUUUCAAUUCUGUUCUCUUAAAUUUAUAUAGAAAUGGUAAAGAUAGUGUUGCAUGGCAUAGUGAUGAUGAACUGUCCAUGGGAGUGCAUCCAGUGAUUGCGUCAGUUUCACUUGGAGAAACUAGGAAGUUCGAACUGAAAAAAAGACCACCAAAGUAUAAUAGCAAGAACGAAAUCGUCAGUUAAUGAAAAUAUAGAUUACAGAGUACACUUGAAAAAUGGUAGUUUGAUUGUCAUGAAAGGUGUUCUUCAGCAGGACUGGUUGCACCGAGUGCCAAAGGAGUAUCAUGAUCGUGGCCGUCGCAUUAAUCUUACAUUUCGAACAGUGUAUGAACAUGUAUAAUAAUUAUAGGAUCGUGUUUUACACAAUUUAAAAUAAUAUAAGUUCUUAAGAGCUUGAGAGGAAACAAACUGAAGUUAAUUUUUCAAAAUACUUUAAUAUAUAGUGUCUUGCAAGUCUGAUUUUGUAAUUAUCUAUGAAUAAUUAAACUAUUUCCAACAUGCUUA